CCGGCAGCUGAUUGAGGGAGAGAGGGAAAGAAAUGAAGAGUGUAUUCCCUUCCCAGGAGCCCGGGGGAAUUUAGGAAAUCCUGGGGUUGCCUCCUCAUUCUCCUCCCCCCGGCCCCCCCCCCCCCCACCGGUUUAUAGUGCCCCACCCCCAUCACCUAACUUUUUUUAACCCUCUUUCCUGUCUCGAGGAGACCUAGAUCCCCAUCCUGGGAGGGACUGGCAACAAUUAACAAAGGCACCAUGGAGUAAAGACAAUUAACAAUCCAGAAAAGAGGGGAAAGAGAGGCUUUGUUCUGGUCACCAUGGCAACGGAGGGGGGGGAGGGAGGAAGGAGGAGGAGGAGGAGGAGGAGAGGCCAUCCAGAGAGGCUGAUACUUUCACUUUCCUUUCAUCCCUCCCCUGUCCCGCCCCCUUGGGUUUCUGCCAGGGAGACAGGGGAUCUUGAAGAACACAGGACUGGGACAGGCCCAGUCUGCAGGCUGGAGAUUCAAGGAUAAGAGGAGGAUUUUUCAGGCUUCUCUCUACUGCACACGGUUCUGAACUCUACCUCGGAGCAAGAGAGAAACCAAGUAUAGAAAACUCAUCCCCAAGUGCUCUGGGGUCCAGCUCUCCCAGGCUUCCCUGUUUGGAAAAGGCAGAAGACAAUGAAAUAUAAGCUCCAAAACCCCACUAGAGAUCAUGCUGUUGGCUUAGGGGGAAUUGGAAAUCACCCUCCAUCUCGCGAGUGCUUCUAGCCAGAGCAGAAGCUUCUUGGCAGGAGAAGCCAGGCGCACCAGCCCCGCCUCAUGGAUGGGCCUCUCCAUUAGCCAUAGGAGACUGCCUGCCAGGAUAUUUCUUGCUCCCAGCAACCCUAACAUCACGAGAGAAAAUAGGCUAUGGACUCCAGAACCUUAUCUUUCUAGGACUCAGCCUUAUCGCCCUGUGGGUCCAAGUGAAAUGAAGAAUAUUAGUCAGCAACUAAAAUCAAGGAGAAAAAAAAAAUCCGUUCUGUCAGAGGCCCUAAACCAAGCAAGAGGUCAAAGGUCCUGCUCUCUGCCUGGAGGGUAUCCUGUCAGGCACUCCUUGCAUGGAUGCUAUUAUGGGCUGAACUGGGUCUCCAAAUUCAUCUUUCCAAGCCCCCAGUACCUCAGAAGGUGACUCUACUUGGAGACAGGGUCUUUGCAGAGGUAACUGAGUUAAAAUGAGGUCAUUAGGGUGGGUUGUAAAUCCACAGGACUGGUGUCCUUAUAAGAAGACAUCUCUACACAGACACGCAGGGAGAAGAUGGCCGUCUACAAGCCACGGAGAGAGGCCUGAGACAGAUCCUUCCCUCGUGGCCCUCCGAAGAAACCACCCCUCACAGACUGCUAGCCUUCAGAACUGUGAGCAGAUACAUGUCUGCUGCGCGAGCCCCCCAGUCCAUGGUGCUUUGUAAGGGUAGCAAAUUAACAUGGAUGCUUAAAGGUUGGGAGGUCUGCACAACCUUGAGGCUGCCUGGACUCAGAGUGUGUCUGUGAAAGGGGGGUAGGCUUUUGUACUAGCAUGGUUGCAUUAUUUUAAUUUGAAACAAAAUUGAUCUAUUACUCUCUUCCCCCAUAGCCUAGUCUUUUAAAUUUUUUAUUCCUUUUGGUAUUGCUUUAACACAUUUUAUUGUUUUAAUCCCUUUAGUCUUUUAUUUUUCUGGUUUUAAUGAUUUUACUUAUCUCUGUCAUUUUUAAUCUCUUCUUCGUCUUUGUUCUAGCCAUUUCAUACUAGUUGCUUUUAUCUCAUCUUAUCUUCUAGAUUUAUUGUUAUUGUAUUAUCUUUUUAUUCUCCAUCUUUUAUUUCUAACCUUUGCCUUAUCGUGUCUUUGUUCUAUCUUUUCAUUUCUUUUUAGUUUGUUUGGUUUAUUUUUAGUUCAUAUUAUCACUUUGCCCGCUGCCUUUUUUUUUUUUUUUUUUUUUUUUUUUUACCGUUUUUACCAUCUUUUUAUUUCUUCUUAGUUUACUUUAUCUUUUUAUUGACUGGUGUAUUAUCUUCCAUAUUUUACUGUUUUCAAUUCUCUCAGCUUAUUAAAUGCGGAGGCUGGAAACACAGCCCUCAGGGGACAGCUGCCAGGCUAACCCGGACCCCAAGCUGAGGAGGCUGGAUGUUUUGGCUCCUCGAGCCCGCCCAGCAACUCCCAACAGAUGCCCCAUUUGCUCCAAAGUGGGCCCCUCCUAUCUCUAAGAAUCAAUCUGUGUAACAUGGGAGACCUUGGGAUAAAAUUCUCUCGGGAAGAUACCAGGUUUGCUUACAAUAAUAACACAUUUGAGUUAUGGAGGAGCCCAGCUUUCUCCUAUCACACGCCAUCAAACUGCUCUCUGUGGACUCAGUCACCUAAAGUUCACCAUCAGUAGACAUCAGAGCAAGCGUCUAAAGAAACCACACCACUUGUCAGGGUGGAUCUGGUGGGUAGGAAAUUUCACUUUGUGAAAAUCUCUCAACAGACCUCCUCAGGUUGCAUUUUAACAAGAAACCAAGUGGUCUCGAUUCAUGCAACAAAAGUCCUGGGGGAAAGGCACAAUGAAGGGUCUCUGAAUUCUUCCGUCUAGCUGUCUUUCAUUCAUUCAUUUAUUUAAUGUCUGUAUUGAGAAGCUACUCUGUGCCAGGAAUUAGGCUAAGAAAUGAGGAUCAAGUGAAGAGCAAAGAGAGCUAGGGCCCUUGCUCUCUUACAGUUUAUAGUCUGGUAAAAAGAUAUGAUAUUUACCUGGCUCUGACCGAUCUGACCUGCCUUCCUUGCAGACAAGAUUAUAGGAGGUCGUUAUGGCCAAGACUGCCAGUUGUUCCCCCAGUGUGUUUUUCCCUUCUAGAAUAAUACAAGUUUAGGCUUGUAUCAAAAGACUGCAUUUCCCAGGCUCCCUUGCCGUGAAAUACAGCCCCUGGGUUCUGCCCAAUAGAACCUAGGCAGAAGUGAAACCUACAACAUGCUGGUUCUGCCUCAUAGGACCUACGCAGAAUGGUAUAUGCAACUUCCUGGUCAUAUCCUUAACAAUAAAGUGUAUUUCCAUUC